rnacentral:misc_RNA from 1 species
GUCGCCCGCGCCUCUUCCCCAGUGUGCCCUCCGCCCUCCUAAUCUAUCCCCGCCUUGUUUCUGCGCGCACAUACAGGAGGAGUCCGGCGAGAGGAGAGGACAAACACAAAGAGAAGAGAUCUGCGGCGGAUCGCAGCGCAUCAGCGAGUCGUCAAGCUCUUCCUCUCAAGCACCGGCACACACUCUUUGCGCCCCACCCCCGGAUGCCUUUUUCGGAAAUCUUUCAGCCUCGCCUGCGGUGCAGAGUCCGAUUCUUUUUUUUUUUCGUCUCGUGUUCUGCAGUUCUCUGGACGGUGCUGCGGCUUUACUGAGUGGCCGUGGAAGUCUGUGAAACCGCGUGCUUCCCUUCUUUGCUCUCCCCAGCGACCCGACAGACGGUCCCAACCGCACUGGUGCGCACUGCACCUCCGCGCAACUCCGUUCUAUUUACACAGGCCUUUACGCAUCGCGCGAACACCCGACAUCAGCAUCGAGAAGACGCGAAGAGGGGGGAUAUGCACCACAGCAACGAAUCGGUGAACGACGCCGCCGACGCGUCGUUUUUUCCGCAGCCGUCACCGACGCGGCCGAGCAGAGAGGCUCUUCCUUCGGCAGCCCCACCCACCGGCCGCGUGACUCGCACGCAGGCGCUGGCUCGGUUGCGGCGUGGGGAAGGCAGCAGUACAGAUACCAAGCCGGUGCGCGCGCCAGGAAAUGACGUGAAUGAGCUGAGGGUGUUAGAAACUCGCAAGGAAUGCGUGGUCGGGGAGGUCCGGGCUGACGCGCAACAGAAGAAGUCGGAGGGCACCUCCUCGCACGCUGCAGCGCCGCCUGCAGUAAGCGCCACCAUCACCCCCGACGACGGCGAUGACAUCGGAGCUGCUUUCCAGGAGACUGGCGAUGCUAGCCGGCGCCAUCGCCGGCACGGCCACGACGCAGAAGGAACCAGCGGCGAUGCUGUGCGCGAUGAUGCAUCCGACGGAGGCGCGGCCAAUGUGUGCGACGGCUAUAGCAGUGACGAUGGCUCGGAGAGCACUUGCUCGGCGCGCCGCGGUGGCGCAGGUAGCGCGCCCACUGAGGCCUUCUCCGUUCACCCUACUCACGCCGGCGCCCGCGGCCGUGCCGUCUCGACCCGCCAAGCAGCGAAUGCGCUGCCUCGCAUGUUGGCGCUGCAGCGAUCCUUCGAAACGGAGGCGAAGCACCUGUAUGAGUACUGUGGCACACACGUUGUCGAGUGGCCGACGCUGGCGGUGGAGUGGAUUCCCGAUCGCGCCUUUGUCGAUCCGGAGCGUGACUACACGUUGCAGUACUUGGCGAUUGGUACCCAGGCGCACCCGCUGAGCGGGGCGGCGAACACAGUGAAAGUAAUGGAGGUGGCGGUGCCGGUCACCACGGCGAAGGACGUCAUGUACGGCCUCUACGGCGACGACGACAUUGCCGGCGCGGAGGCGGUCGAUCCCGCGCUGGAGGGCGGCAUCGACCCCGGCAAGCGCUUCGCCAACGUCAAGGGCCACUUCCACUGCGAGCAGACCCUAACGAUGGACUCGGCAGUGCUGAAGAUUCGCGCGAUGCCUGCCGAGACGAACAUUAUCGCCGUCAAGACGGCGUCUGGGCUCAUUGGUGUGUACAACCUCGUGCAGGAUCUCACUCAGAAUGAGGCUGGCCGCACGGUGCCGGAUGCACUGCUGCGCGGGCACCGCCGUGGCGGCUUUGGGCUCAGCUGGAACACGCUGAAACCCGGCUUCAUCGCGAGCGCCGCCGACGACGGCUAUGUCAACUACUACGACGUGAGCCACCGCUUGACUAUUGACCUGCGCGAGGCGUCGGCCGUUGACCCGUCGCUGACUGGCCCUGAAACGCAGCCACUCGAGCGCUUGGUUGGGCACCGCGACAUCGUCACCGACUGCUGCUGGCACUCUUCGCAAGGACACCUGCUGGCGUCCUCGAGCAUGGACGGGGACGCGCGCUUGUGGGACAUUCGCAUGAGCGCCGGCAGCUCCACCAUUCCCUCGGCGCACGCGAGCGGCGCGACAGCUGCCCAGUUCCACCCUAUCGGCGCCUUCCAGCUGGCAACCGCUGGCGCGGAGGGAAGCAUUAGCCUGUGGGACAUCCGCCGCACCGCGGACCCGGUCCGGGAGCUCAAUUACCACGGCCGCCUCAUCGCGGGCCUGCAAUGGUCGCCUUUUUGCGAGACCGUGAUGCUGAGCUAUGGCGCUGACGGUCGCGUCGUCUUGUGGGAUUUGGCAAAGAUGACACUCCCGCUUGGCUACUCGGAGGAUCAGCUAGCGCCUCCGGAGGUGUCGUUUGUGCACAUCGGCCACGUGGGCCGCGUGACGGACGCCUCGUGGAACUCCUCGAAGACAGAGGAGUGGCUGCUGGCGUCCGCUGACACAACGAACGGAGUGCACGUGUACCGUCCGCUGCUCAAUGUGGUGCAGGACUACCGCGCCUACCAGCAGUAGGAGCGUCCCUCCACUUGUUCUCGCUCCGCCUUCGAUUGUUGCUCUUCUGUGGUGCCGUGAAGGGCGACUGCGCAGAUGGCACGCACCUCUGUGUCUGCAUCUCGUGAGUGUGUGUGUGUGUCUGAGGGGUCACAUGCUUUCCUUAUUUAUGUGCUCUUUUUCCCCCUGCUUUCGUUGUUCCUUCCCCCGCCCUCCUUCUGUGCGAGCGGCUUUGUGGAGUGGUGGAUGCAAAAACAGAAGGGUAACGGCGAGGGAAAUCCGCGACAGAGCGGUGGGGAAGAACACCUUCUUUUGCACCUCAUCACUUCUACCCGUGUUGUGCCCCCCCCUUUUCUGGAAGCGCUGCAGCGUGGCCUUUCCUCCUCCCCUGCUUCAGAACACAAGCAUGUCAACGCUAUCAUUAUCCUUUUUCUUUGGUGUGCUGCUUACUUUUUCCUCGUGCGUGUGCUUGCCUGCUCGUUGACAUGCAGUAUCCAUGGAUUCACUUCUGUACUCGCUCAGCUUGGUGUGCGGCUCUUCCGUCUUUGGCGCUGGUGUGAUGUGCAUAAAAGAGGGAACUCUUGUUCCUCUUUCGCGCCCUCCCCCUUUAUGGGUGCACGCGGGUACAUCGGCCGGUUGUGGGUCUUCCCGUUCUCUUUCUCUUUCUUUUGCUCUUUUCGACUUUCGUGGCGGCUCUCUUGUUGUGGUGCAUCUGCGAGAUUGCUGAGAGGACGGAAAAAGAGGCGAGGAGGGGGAAGGGGCAACGCAUAUCUUAUCGCUUGUGUGGUGAUGGACAGGGGCGGUGGAAGGGUAUGGCGAGUGUGCACAAACGCCUUCGUUACAGGCGCGGAGGACACGCCACGUCAGGUGUGCGUGCAUGGGCGUUCUGGUGCGGACCUAGAAAAGCGAAAAGCGAGGUGAAGGUCUUCAGUCCAACAGUGUCACAGGGAGCGGAGAGGGGAAGGAUUGAUUGAGUGGCCAGACUCAUUUCUCUUCAUUCGACCUUCACCUGGCUUCUGUUCCCGAUCCCCUUUCCGCUGUUUUCGUGAUCUUCUGGCGGAUCAGCUAUUCUGUGUUUCCAUCGGACAUGUGUACCUCUGCCGCUGCGCUCCGUCACUCUUAUCCCCUUCAACCUCAAUGGUCUUUGUUCACUCUUCGCGAACAUUGGACCCUGUUCUCUCGCACUCUCUCGUCUUUUUCUGCUUCUCUGUCCUUGUUGCCGGGUGUAUUCCUUCCUUUCUCUACUAGGCAGCGCGUGGAUGCCACGUGUCGGUGCGGUGCUAGCGGGCAGCUGUGCCAGCGCGCGUGCACCUGCGGACACAUCGUGGAUCACGCGUGUGUGUGUGCGUGUGCGUGCGCGUGUUUCGUAGCUAGUGGGCGCGAAGGCUCCUCUUGCUGCUCCGAUGACACUUCGCGCGUGUGAUGGGUUUUGAAUGGUUGGGGUGUGCAUUGCGUAUGCGCGCAGUGCUCCACGGAAUACGUCCUUUUUUUUUCUGUCUUUCUUUUACUUUCUCUGGUGUCUCUUGGCUGGUGCGCUGAUGUGCACCACACGUUCCCUCUCUCGUGGAAAGAAACAAGCAUCCUUGCCACCGUGUUCUGCCAUGCUAGCUUAGUCUAUGUGUAUGUGUGUGUGCAUAUGUGUAUGCCUAUGUAUGUGCGUAUGCGUGCGUGCUGUAUUCGUUCGCGUUAAGCGACAUCGGCACGCUUUUUUUUGUUUUCCCUAUAUUUACUUAGUCUUCGGCUUCGUGUUUCCAUCCUUUCCUCCCCUCCUCCCACCCGCGCCUCGCGGGGCUUGCAAUCAUGUUUUUCGUUUGUGUGCAUGUGUGCAGGUGCGUGCUCCUGCAUGUCUUCCUCUUGCUGUUUGGCAUCCUGUCCCUUCUCUUGGAGGGCGCGCUCGGGUGAGUGCUCUCUUGGGGGGGGUGCUACACAAAGGAAAAAAAGGCAGACAGAUGGAUGGGCGUCGCGAACUGGGGGAGGGGCCCGAACGGACAAGCGACUAAAAGGAGGCGCGGGCGGUGAGUCUGCGCGUUACGUCAUCUCAUCGCCGCUCGCCCUGCGCCGCGAUUUGCGGUAAGGCGCGGGCUCUCUUGAUACGAGGGGAAGAUGGACCUUUGGAAGUUGGCCUUGCAAGUGUCGUUGUUGUGGUUGCUGCCAACCUUCGAGUUGUGCGCUUUACGCUAGACCAUUCCAUUCUACUCGGCUUCUUUUUUCUCGCUCAUGGGGCCUCCGAUGCCCUCGACUUUGUCACACAG